rnacentral:lncRNA from 1 species
AUUAUAAAAUACAAUUAAAAAUGAAAAAGCAUCUGAAGCAGACCUCCCCACAGGCCCACCCCUGCCACCACUUGUCCUCAAAGUUGACAUUUGAGUCUCAAGGGUAAUCAAGAACACAGAAUUCAUUCCAAAAAUCUCUGUGGCUCAGUUGGAACAACUGUUUGUGUUUAUAAGGCACAUGGUUUGAUGAAGAUUACAUUUAUUUUAGAUUAGUCUGGGGGCUGGCCUUGUUGUUUUAAAAAUCUAAAGAAGAAAUUACAAAUUUAAACAGUUUGUGUUAGUGGCAAAGCCUGCUGUUUGCUCUAGCAGAUGCUGUCAGUGCUCUGCCCACAUUCUGUGGGCACUUGUUCUACUAAAAGCACCUAGGAUUCCCUACUAGGCAGCUUUCUUCAGGCCUCCCUGGGGCACAGGCUGGGAGUCUGGGGGAUUAGCACCCCUGGUAGGAACCCCAGCACAACCCAGUUGGGUAACUCUGAGAAUAUGUCCUUUAUCUCCCUUCUUUCUCUCACUUUCCUUCUUCCCUGGUAUUUCCUGUUUCCUUCUCCUGAAUAAAAUACUUACAUACUGUUUAAGGUGUGGUUCUCCUGUAACCUAAACUAAGACCAUUAUCUUCCCAAUAGUUAUAUACCUUAUUUCUUGUCAAUGUGACUUGCAUUUCCCUGGUGUUCCAAACUUCCAGUUCAAGUUCAUGAGCUUCAGGGGAGGCUGGCUCACCCCCACCGCAGUGGAGGGGUCUUGAUUUGUCUAGACCCAGAGCACUGUUCCUGUUCUUCUGCGUGAGCAGGUGGCUUAGGUACAACCAAUGAGACCUGGAGGCAAGUCAGCCAGAGGACUUCGAAGACAUAGGAAAAGCAAGUUUAUUUUCAUUCCCUGGCUUUGGUCACGUCUGGAUAAGAUGCUAGAAGUGGUGGAGUCAUCUUGCAACCAUGAGGUAAGACCUUGAGGGAACAGAGACAACAUGGAGGACACAGAACCACGAGAACCCCCAAGAGCAGAGGUAGAACCAUAAUUAUUCACAUCUGGAGCUGCCCCGCCUUUGAAAUCCUUGUUCUGUGAAAUAAUUCCUGUUGAGUAAAGCAAUUGAGUCGUGGUUGUUUUUUGUUACUCCAGGCAAAAAACACCUAAUUAAUAAAUUUUUAGGACUAGAGAAAGCAAACCCCACAAUCUUUAGAGUGUCAAGAGUCUGGAUGUGGUCACUAGAGCAGAAGUCAAGAGCCAAAAGAGGAAAAACAAUUCAAGGAAAGGGGGGCAGAGAUGGAAUCCUAUUCACCGAGUAAUACCAGCAAACAAAGCUAGAAUGUACAAACCAGGAAAGGAGGGCACUAAGAGUGGAUAUCAGCCAACCUGCCUUCCUUCUUCCUUUCUUCCACUCCAUUUGUAAGCACAAACUCUGUCCCAGGCACUUCCAGGAGCUGAGCAUUCAGUGGUGAGCAAGAUUGACAGGCCAUAGCCCUUGGGACACUUGCAACCAAGAAAAUCACUAGCAAGUUGGAGCCUAGGAGUGCAUUUUAAAGCAAGAAUAAGGAAGGUGGACCCAGGUAUGGACCCAGAUAAAACUCUGUGGAGCAGCUGGAUGCUAUUUCUGAUGCCUUCCCCCAAUCACGUGGGCAUCUUGACUCCCAGUCUCGCCUCAAUGGAGGCAGGAAAGACUCCUAACAUUAGGCAGCAUCUGUGCCUAAAAUCCCCAGAGAAAGAACUCUUCCGAAGGCCUCACUGGAACUCUGUGAAAUUGGCACUAUUUGGUAAAUGGCCCGUUAGAAGAGAAAAAUCACUUAUUGAAAAAAUGAAAACAAAAAGCAACAAAAAACAAACACACACACACACAAAACCCAUCCAGAUGGAAACUGGUAUUUGGCAAAUGAUUUUUUCCCCUCAAGUUAGAAAUGACCUAUGUUGAAAAUGUCAGGUAAGAUCAAUCUUUUUUUUUUCUUUUUUUUUAAAUUUUUUAAUGGUUAACUGUUUCCAUUUCAAGGUCCAAAGUUGACCAGAUUCAGCAUUUCUGCCACCAGGGAGCGCUGUGCCCAGUGAACAGUGGGGUAGGCUGGCCUGCACUUCCCGCAUUGCCCACAAGGGGCGCUUAGCCAGCCUCGCGGACCCCCAGCGCAUGCUCUGUUCUGUGGCGUAGAGCCGAGCUGACUUGCCGCCUACCCAGGCUGGGCACCCCAUGUCGGAGUCUCAGCUGACAGAGCUCAGUCCCAGUGAGACCAGCUGGGAUUUCAGCUUCAGGACAGUGGCAGUGGAACCCUGGGUUUCCUGAUGAUGCAGGCAAUACUGGGAGGAAAAGGUGAGGAAAAAAGAGAAGUGAGGAAAAGUGAAAAGCUUCCUGUGUGCCACUGACUGCUGUGGCUCAUCUGUCUUCAGAUGACCCAGGAAGGGCUCAACUUGGAAAACUUUUUUUUAAGUCAAUUAUGUGUGUGGUGCAGAGGUUGGAAGGUGGUCCAGAUUUCCCAGCACCCUUUAUUGUGGGGACUGUCCUUCCUCUUGGUGUGUCCUUGGCCCCUGUGUCAUGAAUUAAGUGACCCUCUCCAUGUGGGUUGAAUUCUGAGCUUUCUAUUUAUUUCCUCUGGCCUCUGCACCUGUUUUGUGGCCAGUUCCACACUGUUUUGGUGACCAUCGCUCUGCAAAAUAGUUCAAAGACAGCCAAAGUAGUUUGACGUCUAUGCAAGAGGCAUGGAGGCUCCCCACCUGCAAAUCAUUUUGUGAAUCCAUGUGGCCUGGUGGGGGGUUGGGCCGUGAGGAAGUGAUAGGGCUAGGGACUUAGGAUCACUAUGGAAGAAUUCUGAGAGCAAAGCCUCACACAACUCUAGUGCCACCAUGUCAUUCCCACCAACAAGUAACCUCUUUUUUUUUUUAAUGUUGGAAUAUAGUUGAUUUACAGUUGCUACAUUAGUUUCAGGUGUACAGCAAAGUGAAUCAGUUAUACAUAUAGAUAUAGCCAUUCCUUUUCAGAUUCUUUUCCCAUAUGAGGUUAUUACACAGUAUCACAUAUAUUUCCCUGUGUUAUACAGUAGGUCCUUGUCUGUUAUCUGUUUUAUAUAUAGUAGUGUGCAUGUUAUUCUCAUUCCUAAUUCAUCCCUCCCACAGUCACCUCUUUUUUGUUUUUUAUUUUUGUGGGAAAGCUCUUUACUGGGGGCAUCCAGCAGAAGGAGCAAGGCCAUCUCCCCCUACUUGGAAAUCUGUAUGGAUAAGUUCAUAGUCAGCAGGGGAAAAAAUACUUGGAAUAUCUUCCCCGGCACAGAAAGGAUGUCAGCCACUCAGAUACUCAUUUUACUAUAACCAGUUGCAGAAAAACUUGGAAGAAGGGAAGUCUUGACUUCUGCCUAUCCCUCUGGAAGAAAUUAUUUUAGAAUUAAAAGGUGAACAGAGACAAAGUGUGAAACUAUACUUUUUUCUCUUGGAAUUUAUGCCAUAAAAACCGAAUCCUGAAGAUGGUAGGUACCCAUUUCUGAGUGUCAAGCUAUAAAUUGACCCAAACAUCUCUGAAACAUAAAGUGCAACAUGAUAGAUAUAGAUUAUCCUUUAGUAUUGAUGAGCCUCUGAGAUUUACUUAGAUGUUUUACUGAAUGUUUAUCAUUUAUGCAUUAAAUCUGGUAACACCUUUUUUUUUUUUUGCACUGAACUGCAGAUGCCGUGUUAUCUACCUACUGCUGUUCUCCUUUGUAUAUGCUCUGCUUUAUUUUCAAAUGUAUCAGAAAUAUCCACACAUACACAUUUAUGCUCUCUUUUCAAGGUAAUAUGGCUGGUAAUUAUGUUAUAAAAAUGUAUGAUUAUUGCUAAAAAUAUAUGGGUCUCUGAAAUUAAAAUAUUCUUUAAUAUUUUUGAUUCAUUUAUUUAUUCAUUCCACAAAUAUUUGUGAAACAUCUAAACAGGCUACAUGCUAGAAUACUGGGCUGCAAGCUAGAUUUGUCACUAUAAGUCUGUCUUUAGAAACUGCUUUUCUGCAGUUACCUUACAAUGGAACCAGUUAAUCAUGAGUUAUUAAUACCAAGGUUUGAAUAAUAAAGUGGUACAAGAUGGCAAAAGAUAGGUGCAAGAUCAGAUUCAGACCCUAAGAUUCUUAGAAUGGAAGAUACAUCAUAAAAAUGGGAGUUCUGUCAUGGCUCCUGUCAUGGCUCAGCGAAUCUGACUACUUUUCAUGAGGACAAGAAGUUUGAUCCCUGGCCUCUGUCAGUGGGUUAAGCAUCCGGUGUUGCCGUGUGGUGUAGGUUGCAGAUGCGGCUCGGAUCUGGCAUUGCUGUGGCUGUGGCGUAGGCCAGUGGCUACAGCUCCAAUUCGACCCCUAGGCUGGGAACCUCUAUAUGCCAAGGGAGCAGCCCUAAAAAGACAAAAAAAAAAAAAAAGAUGAUCAAGAGAUCAUGAAGACCAUGGGAAAAUCUGAGACACACUCAAAGAAACUUACAAGCAACUGACAAAUUGUUGGUGACAGAGAUCUGUGCUCAAAGCCCUGAGCUCCAUUCUUUAGUUCCUGUUGGUGCCUGAGAGGUACGCCUAGUAGCACCUACAAAGCACAAUUUUCAACCACCUGAGACAUCAUCACAGAAGACCAAUCCCUCUACAGGCUUUAUGCUUUUUUUCCACCAAGUUCCAGUUGCUCUCCAGUUCUGAAUGCAGAAUUUCAACACUGUUUCGUAAAGGGGUGUGAUUUGGAUUCAUUCUGACACAUCCAUCUGUGGCUCAUCCUCUUUGUUUCAUGACAAAGCAUCAUUUAUGCCACCUGAAAUCCUUAUCUUCUAAUGCAUAGAACAAAACAUCACAUCAUCAGUCAACAAGUUGGAAAAGGGGAGACUUAAGGCAGCAAUAACAAACUAAGUCCCCCUACAUGUGCCAAUUUUAAUGGGAGAUGUAGGCAGUUGGCAGGCUAGUGUUGAGAGCCCUGAAAUCCAAAGGCAACCUCUGACCAGUGAUGUAAAUUCAGAAAUUCUGCUUCAUCAUUUUUCUCAGAAGAAAUCAGGCUCUGUAAGCUCUCUUUAAUCCACUAUCUCAGGGAAGACAGAAAUCAGUAUGGUAAUUAGUUAUUUACAGCCAGAAUGCCUGUAACUUUUCCCAAUCUCAAGGGAAACCCAUCAGGAGUUUUCUCGAAGACCAUGGACUAAAAAUAAAUGAAGUGAAGGAUUUUUCAUCAGACAGUGGCAAAGCCUGGUGAUCUGAUGUUAUUCCAUGUCAUCCAAGCGCUCAUGCUGGGCAGAAGGAGCUGUGGGUUCUCAAUAAGGCAUCAUUUCCAGGACCUACAAUUCUGAUUCAGAAUGAGCACCAGAGUAGAGCAGAGCUGACCCAGAGUCAGGCUGUAUGAAGCAAGUAGGGAGGUAAGGCUGGGAAUGACUCAGACCCAAAGAGUCAAAAGGAAAUCUGACCUUGUGGAUACGUCCACCAGGCUGAUGGCUUUUCUCCUGGCUCCCACUUCUGCUCAGUCGACAGGCACCACUGGCAGGACAUCAGAAAGUACAGGAAGGAUGACAUCAUUGCAAUGGAUCUCAAACAUUUUGGUCUUUGACUCAUUUACUCUCUUAAAAGAUCAAAAGUAUAUCUGUUGGUAUUAGAAAUGAACACAAUUUAUACCUAUUGAUUUUACUGUAUUAGAAAUUAAAACUGAAAAAUUACACUAAUGACUGAGCUAUAGGAACAGAGAAUCUAUUGGUGUUAGAAAAUUAACUUAUUAAUAUAGUUCAAGAGUAAUAAUUCCAUAGUACCUUAACAUGUGUUUAUGAAGCAUGACUGUAUUUACCCAAACAAGCAAUAAUUUGUGAUAAAAUUGACACAUUUCACAUUUUUGCAAAUCCACUUAAUAUCUGGCUAAGUAGGAGACAGCUGGAUUUUCAGAUCUGCUUCUGCAUUCAAUCUCCCGCCGUAUCAUACAUCAUUGAGUUCCUGAAAAAUUCCACUGUAUACUCAUGAGAACAUUAAACAAUGCAAAUGUCUCAGUAUUAUUAGGAAAAUACUUUUGAAAAUACCUAAGAAAGAAAAUACUUUUGAAAAUACACCAAGGAGUCCCCACAGCACACUUUGAAAACUGCUGGUUGGACUAUUAUUGCCCCUGACUCUCUCGUUUGUAGGCUACAAGCUGGCAGUGGUGGUGCCCCAUAGUCAGAGCUAUAUCUCCUGUUGGGUAGCCAUUCCCUAGCCUCCCCUGAGCCUGUGUUCCCUGUUGUUGCUAAAAGCUCCCUGUUGUUGCUAGCCCUAGUUGCUUCCAAGCCCUUGCUGGCUUCUCUUAAUCUUGCCCACACCUUUUUUUGUAAGUAGGCCCUUCAUUAAACUCUCACCGAUCAUCUUUUGUCAUGCCUGUGUGUGCAGUGGGCAGACUCUAAGCUGGUCUCCAGUGAUCCCCCUCCUUGUGCUCAUGCCUCUGUGCAAUCCCCACCCCUUGUGGGUGGGCAGGACCUGGGAUUUGCUUCUAACUAGUAGAACGUGGCAAAAGUGGUGGGAUGUCUCUCUCUCACAUGCGCGCGCGCACACACACACACACACACACACACACACACACACACACACCAGUUGCGUUAUGUUGUGUAAGACUCUUCUUCCAUUCUCUCCUUGAUGGAGGAAGUGGCCCAUGGGAAAGGUAACUGUGUGACAAGAGCUGCAGACAGCCUCUAGGGGUGCGGCACAGCCUGCAGCUAACAACCAGCAGGAGCUAACCCCCAGCCACACAGCGACAAGGAGAUGAGCUCUGAGCUUCAAAGGGACUCUGCCCCUUUGAGCCCCCAAAUAAAAAUACAGCCCAUCAACACCUUGAUCACAGCCCUAUGAGACCUGAGUGGAGGAUUCAGAUUUGGCAACAUUCCUAAUCCAUGGAAAUUGGAAUAAUACAGGCAGACUACUUUAAGCUGCUAAAUUUUUGGUAAUUUGUUACAUAGCAAUAGAUAUCUAAGUGCCAUCUUCCUCCCCAACCCUGACUCAUAAACUUUCUGCACACUAUUAAACAUUUUAUUUGACCACUGCUGUCCAAUUUUUUUUCCCCACUGUAUGGAAACAACCCAAAUGUCCAUCAACAGAUGAUUGGAUUAGGAAGAUGUGAUAUAUAUACACAAUGGAAUACUGCUGUCCAAUUUUUAAUGGCCUUCCCAUAUUCAUUUUCAUGUCGCAUGAUAGCUACAAAGGAAGUAAAAACUGUAUGUGCGGAAGUGUGUCAUGAUACUGGAGUUUUUGGUUUUUUUGUUUGUUUUUUUUUUUUUUUGGCUACACCCAUGGCAUGUGGGAGUUCCUGAGCCAGGGAACAAACCUGAACCAAGCCACAGCAGUGACCUGAGACGCAGCAGUUAUAAUGCCAUUUCCUUAACCCAUUGAGCCAUCAGGGAACUCUGAGUUUUUAUUAUUUAAACUUGGAUCAAGGAGUUCCUGUUGUGGCUUAGCUGGUUAAGGAUCCUACAUUGUCUCUAAGGAUGCAGAUUUGAUCCCUGGCCUGCUGAGCGGUUGAAGGAUCCAAGGUUGCUGUAAGCUGCAGCAUAGCUCGCAGAUUCAGGACAGAUCUGGUGUUGCUGUGAUUGUGGCAUAGGCCACAGCUGCAGCUCUGAUUCAACCCCUGGCCCAGGAAAUUCCAUA